rnacentral:rRNA from 1 species
CCUACGGGUGGCAGCAGUGAGGAAUAUUGGUCAAUGGACGAAAGUCUGAACCAGCCAAGUAGCGUGCAUGAUGACGGCCCUCGGGGUUGUAAACUGCUUUUAGUUGGGAAUAAAAGGUUGCUCGUGACCACCGUGUUGUGGGUACCAUCAGACAAGGGACCGACGAAUUACGUGCCAGAAGCCGCGGUAAUACGUAGGGUGCGGGAGUUAUCCGGGUUUAUUGGGUUUAAAGGGAGCGUAGGCGGUCUUGUAAGUCAGCUGUGAAAGCCCGAGGCUCAACCGUGGAACUGCAGUUGAAACUGGAGGUCUGGAGUGCAGAAAGGGAUGGCGGAAUUCAUGGUGUAGAGGUGAAAUGCUUAGAUAUCAUGAAGAACUCCGAUGGCGAAGGCAAGUGUCUGGGGUGCAACUGACGCUGAGGCUCGAAAGUGUGGGGAGCAAACAGGAUUAGAUACCCGGGUAGUC